UAGUAACGGCGAGUGAAGCGGCAACAGCUCAAAUUUGAAAUCUGGCCCUCGGGUCCGAAUUGUAAUUUGUAGAGGAUGAUUUUGGUGCGGUAUCUUCCGAGUUCCUUGGAACAGGACGCCUUAGAGGGUGAGAGCCCCGUACGGUUGAAUGCCUAGCCUCUGUAAAUCUCCUUCGACGAGUCGAGUAGUUUGGGAAUGCUGCUCUAAAUGGGAGGUAAAUUUCUUCUAAAGCUAAAUAUUGGCCAGAGACCGAUAGCGCACAAGUAGAGUGAUCGAAAGAUGAAAAGCACUUUGAAAAGAGGGUUAAAUAGCACGUGAAAUUGUUGAAAGGGAAGGAUUUGUGACCAGACUUUUUCUGGGCGGAUCAUCCGGGGUUCUCUCCGGUGCACUUUGCCCAGUAAAGGCCAGCAUCGAUUUUCGGCGGCGGAUAAAAGCAGUGGGAAUGUGGCUCCCUACGGGGAGUGUUAUAGCCCAUUGUAUAAUACGCUGCUGGGGAUCGAGGUACGCGCUUCUGCAAGGAUGCUGGCGUAAUCAAGAGCAAUCACCCGUCUUGA
rnacentral:rRNA from 1 species